CCAAAGUGCAAAUUUGGAGACGCACCCAAUAAGGUGCCGGGGCUUCUCCCGUUU
rnacentral:tRNA from 1 species